AUAUUAUCUAUACAGCCUAAUUUUUGCAGGUUAUAUUCCUUACCAUUUACCUAUCUGAGGAAAAUAAAAACCUGUGCAGUGUAUCAAAAACUUUGAUAAUUGAAGUCUAUUGGCAUUUUAAAAUAUAUAACCCAAAACAAAGGCGGCGUCAAGGCAUAAAACAAAGGGAAUUUCAUACAUAUAUAAGAGACCGGAGACUAGACAGUUUGCCAGUCAGA